CUAGUGUUGAUACUCUCAAUCGUGUUAGAGGAGAAGUCAGUGAGAUUCGAUCAGUCAUGGUUGAGAACAUUGAGAAGAUAAUGGAGAGAGGUGAUAGGAUUGAGCUUCUUGUUGAUAAAACAGCAACAA